rnacentral:rRNA from 1 species
CCUGAUGGCCAUAGUGCUGUGGUCCCACCUGAUUCCAUUCCGAACUCAGAAGUGAAACGCAGUGACGCCGAUGGUAGUGUGGGGUUUCCCCAUGUGAGAGUAGGGCACCAUCAGGGUUUUAUU